rnacentral:rRNA from 1 species
GAGGAAUAUUGGGCAAUGCCCGAAAGGGUGACCCAGCAACGCCGCGUGGAGGAUGAAGGUCGUAAGAUUGUAAACUCCUGUUAGAGGGGAAGAAUAACUAAGUUUGGAGCUUAGUAUGACUGUACCCUCAGAGAAAGCCCCGGCUAACUACGUGCCAGCAGCCGCGGUAAUACGUAGGGGGCAAGCGUAGUCCGGAUUUACUGGGUGUAAAGGGCGCGCAGGCGGGAUAAAAAGUCAGUGGUGAAAUCCUACAGCUUAACUGUAGAACUGCCUUUGAUACUUUUAUUCUUGAGUUCGGGAGAGAGAGACGGAAUUCCAGGUGUAGUGGUGAAAUACGUAGAUAUCAGGAGGAACACCGGUGGCGAAGGCGGCCUUCUGGACGGCUACUGACGCUGAGACGCGAAAGCGUGGGGAGCAAACA